AAGUCAUGUUGAGGGAAAUGUCAUAUCAAUCUCUUGUAACACUCCCAAGCUUCAUAUAACGACUCACCUUCUAAUUUUUUAAAAUUUUGUAUGUUCCUAUUAAGCUC